UUUUUUUUUUUUUUUAAUCUUUCAAAUUAGAUUAAAGUAGUGUUAACUAGUUUUUAUUACUGUUUACCUAGUUUUUAUGCUGUUGGCUUCUGAUAUAAAUGCCUUUGAUGGUUUCUUUAUUUGAAUUUGCUAAUUAUACACUGACAAUCUAAAUUGUUGAACUGGAAAUUAUUGAGAAGAGAACUGUAAAUUGAUUUUUAUGUGUUUGUAUACAGUUUGAAGAGUGGGUUUCAGUUUUGCUCAUGCAUAAUUAUACUUUUGCGAAUGAUUUUUUUUUUCUUUUUCUGGAUUCAGGUAUCAAUAUAUAAUUCAGCUA
rnacentral:misc_RNA from 1 species